CAGUCGCCACGGUAAUACAGAGGGUGCGAGCGUUAAUCGGAUUUACUGGGCGUAAAGCGUGCGUAGGCGGCCUUUUAAGUCGGAUGUGAAAUCCCUGAGCUUAACUUAGGAAUUGCAUUCGAUACUGGGAAGCUAGAGUAUGGGAGAGGAUGGUAGAAUUCCAGGUGUAGCGGUGAAAUGCGUAGAGAUCUGGAGGAAUACCGAUGGCGAAGGCAGCCAUCUGGCCUAAUACUGACGCUGAGGUACGAAAGCAUGGGGAGCAAACAGGAUUAGAUACCCCCGUAGUCCCUGUCUCUUAUAA
rnacentral:rRNA from 1 species